GCUGUUCUAGUUUAAUUGAGAAUGCGCGGUUUGUAACUGUGAUGUUUUACCAGCU
rnacentral:tRNA from 1 species